AAUCUCAAGUGAGAGCAGAGCAGAGCAAAGCAAAACAAAGAAAAAAUUUGUAAAAAUGGCCAGUAUUUCAGGUACCAUGGUUAGCACCUCUUUCCUAAGAAAAAUUUUGUAAAAAUGGCCAGUAUUUCAGGUACCAUGGUUAGCACCUCUUUCCUCCCAAGGAAACCAGUAGUGACUAGCCUGAAAGCCAUACCAAAUGUUGGGCAAGCUCUCUUUGGUCUUAAAUCUCAGAGGGGUGGUAGGAUUACUUGCAUGGCCAGUUACAAAGUGAAGCUUAUUACACCAGAAGGAGCUGUUGAAUUUGAUUGUCCAGAUGAUGUUUACAUUCUUGAUCAAGCUGAGGAAAUGGGACAUGAUCUUCCUUACUCAUGCAGAGCUGGUUCUUGCUCUUCUUGUGCUGGAAAAGUUACAGCUGGAAAUGUUGAUCAGUCUGAUGGAAACUUUCUUGAUGAUGACCAAAUGGCUGAUGGAUUUGUGCUAAC
rnacentral:lncRNA from 1 species